GUGGGGAAUAUUGGACAAUGAGCGAAAGCCUGAUCCAGCCAUGCCGCGUGUGUGAAGAAGGUCUUCGGAUUGUAAAGCACUUUAAGUUGGGAGGAAGGGCAGUAAGUUAAUACCUUGCUGUUUUGACGUUACCAACAGAAUAAGCACCGGCUAACUUCGUGCCAGCAGCCGCGGUAAUACGAAGGGUGCAAGCGUUAAUCGGAAUUACUGGGCGUAAAGCGCGCGUAGGUGGUUCAGCAAGUUGAAGGUGAAAUCCCCGGGCUCAACCUGGGAACUGCCUCCAAAACUACUGAGCUAGAGUACGGUAGAGGGUAGUGGAAUUUCCUGUGUAGCGGUGAAAUGCGUAGAUAUAGGAAGGAACACCAGUGGCGAAGGCGACUACCUGGACUGAUACUGACACUGAGGUGCGAAAGCGUGGGGAGCAAACAGGAUUAGAAACCCGUGUAGUCC
rnacentral:rRNA from 1 species